UACGGGGGGGGCAAGGGUUGUUCGGAAUUACUGGGCGUAAAGGGCUCGUAGGCGGCCAACUAAGUCGGAUGUGAAAUCCCCAGGCUCAACCUGGGAACUGCAUCCGAUACUGGAUGGCUUGAAUCCGGGAGAGGGAUGCAGAAUUCCAGGUGUAGCGGUGAAAUGCGUAGAUAUCUGGAGGAAUACCGGUGGCGAAGGCGGCAUCCUGGACCGGCAUUGACGCUGAGGAGCGAAAGCUAGGGGAGCAAACGGG
rnacentral:rRNA from 1 species